rnacentral:rRNA from 1 species
GGGUGGUAAUGCCGGAUGCUCCAGUUGGAUGCAUGUCCUUCUGGGAAAGAUUCUAUCGGUAUGGGAUGGGGUCGCGUCCUAUCAGGUAGUCGGCGGGGUAACGGCCCACCGAGCCUACGACGGGUAGCCGGCCUGAGAGGGCGACCGGCCACAUUGGGACUGAGAUACGGCCCAGACUCCUACGGGAGGCAGCAGUGGGGAAUAUUGCACAAUGGGCGCAAGCCUGAUGCAGCGACGCCGCGUGCGGGAUGACGGCCUUCGGGUUGUAAACCGCUUUUGACUGGGAGCAAGCCCUUCGGGGUGAGUGUACCUUUCGAAUAAGCACCGGCUAACUACGUGCCAGCAGCCGCGGUAAU